rnacentral:rRNA from 1 species
GAUCAUGGCUCAGGAUGAACGCUAGCUACAGGCUUAACACAUGCAAGUCGAGGGGCAUCAGGAAGAAAGCUUGCUUUCUUUGCUGGCGACCGGCGCACGGGUGAGUAACACGUAUCCAACCUGCCCUUUACUCGGGGAUAGCCGUUUCGAAAGAAAGAUUAAUACCCGAUGGCAUAAUGAUUCCGCAUGGUUUCAUUAUUAAAGGAUUCCGGUAAAGGAGUAGGGGAUGCGUUCCAUUAGGUUGUUGGUGAGG